rnacentral:lncRNA from 1 species
GGCCUCAUAAGACUGGCUCCGGCUGCGAAGGUUUGGGCUCCCGCAGUCAGGAGUCGUGCCUCAUUCAACUUACCAUUAAAACCCUAAUUCCCAUCGCUAUAAAUUCAUCUUCCCCUGGUUGUUUUCCUCUCAAUGCUUUACUUGCAGAGUCUCAGUCGCACUAGUUUCUUGAUUGUUCCUUUCAUUUUCUGGCGAAUUUUAUGUUUUCUAUUAAAUUUGGGUAAGCAAGUCAGCUUCUUGGUCGGAUCUGGAAACGUUUACGAUCCGGGCAGUUUAAUUUCAAAACUUGCGACAUGGAACUAUAGCCAGUAUCACUCGCCUGAAUCUGAUUCCGAUUCCGCUGAUUUUUCAGGCCCUUUUCAUACUGGUACAUCCCCUGAUUGUUUUAUACAUUUUGGGUUUUUGAAAUCUAAAGCAAACGCACUCUGUCCCAAAACUGUUUGUAUCUAAAACUCAUGUUUUGAGGCAAUUUCUUCGUUUGCGAUAUCAGUUUAACUUCCAACCAACUCGCCCAUUCGAUCCUUUCAUCCGUGGUCUUAUUGGGCACAUGGUUGGAUGACAUCCAAAUCUCACUUCUUUAUUUUCACAUUUUAGCUGCACUUUCGUUCUUUUUAUUUGAUUUCAAAGUUGAAGUUCUACAGGAUUAUAUUGAAAUUUGAAAAUGUCUUUUCAGAUAUUGAAAAGAUAAAAGAGGUGGACUUUGAUUUUGAUUUUUUAGCAACUGUAAAUGGGUUUAAGAAACAGGAAAGAGGCCUGAGAUUAAUCUGGAAAUUGACUUGUUAUUCCUAGACAUUGUCUCCGUAUUUCAUUCGUACGCAUUUCAUCGAACAUUUGGCAAGCAUGACCUGAUGCGUCAGAUUAAGCACACAUAACCAGCCAUUGAAUUGCAGAAAAAAACAUUGGAUUCAAACUCAUUAGAGGAGGCCACAAGAUGGGAUGAAAUGCCCCGGUGGAAGUGAGCUUAUAGCAAAGCCUUAAAAAUGAGGGAAAAGUACAGUAAUUAAGGGACCAUCCAAGGCUGAUUUCGAAUUUUACUUUAUAAUUUAUUUUGUAAAAUUUAAUAUUUUAAUAAAAAUAUUUAAAUUUUUUUUGUUAAAUGAAAAUACAUAAAAAAUUAUGAAUGUUACAAAAAUUUUUAUAAUUUAAUUAAUUAUUAUAUGAAUGGAUGUUAGUAACUAAUUCAACACAAAAACAUAUUCUGAAAUGGAGAUGAUUUAAAUUUUAGGUUCUUGUUUGUUUUUCAUAAAAUAUUUUUGGUUUAUUAAAAUUUAGUGUAUCAAAUAUUAAAAAUAAAAAAUAUUUUUCGGAAACAAUCAUUACUAAUGUUAGGAAACAAUAACGGUGACCAGCUUAGAUUUAUAUUUGUUUGGUUGAAAUGUGCAUUGUCCGGAUUUUAAUUAUAUAAUUAUUAAUUUAUUAAUAAAAAAUAAAAAUUCAGAUUAUUAAUUUAUUGAUAAAAAUAAAAAAUAAAUUUUUGUUGUUAAGAAAUAUACAUAUUUUUAAAUUUUUUCACAAUAAAAAAUCUGAAUUUUUCUUAUAAAUUUAAAAUUAUAUUUCUUAGUUAAAUUAUUCUAUAAAGUUUUUAUAUGUUUAAUCUAUUUUUUAUAUUUAUUUUGAAUAAUAGUAUAAAUAAAUUUUAUUAUUAAUAAAAUCAACAUGAUUUAUAUUAUAUUUGUAACUUUUAAUAUUAUAUUAAUAUAUAAAAACCAAAUUUAUUUAUUAAAAGAUAUGUAUAAUAAAAUUGUUUUCAUAAUUAUAUAAUAAUAAUUUUUAAUUAAAAAAUAUUUUAUAUAUUAAUUAUUUAUAUAAUUAAAGUCAAUAAUAAAAAAUUAUAUUUUUUUAUUUUUAUAAUUACACUUUAUUCUUUUAUAGUCAAUUAAACACACACUUUUAUAUUUAUUCUUAUUUGUUCUAAUUUCAUCUUGACAUUAGAUUUUUCAUUAGAGACUAACUAAAUUUCAACAAUUUCAUAAUACAAUUGGUUACAAUUUAAAAAAUUAGGAUUUAAUUAAUAAAUUUUUAAAAUUUAGAAUGCAAUUUUAAAUUUAUUUAAAAGUCAUAAUUUUUUUAUUAUUUCUCUUAAAAUUAAAAUGAAUAAUAUUAAAAAAUAAUUUUUACUAUUAUUAUAAAUUUUUUAAUUUUAUUAAUAAUUUAGUAUAUUAUUUCUUUAAUCUAAUUUUAAAUAAGCCAAUUAUUAUUAUAAUUUUAAAAAAUAUAUAAUUAAUGAUAUGAUUGAAAGUAAAAAAAAAUAUUUUAAAAUAUAUAUUAAAAAAUAAUUAUAAUAAUUUUAUUAUUUUAUAUUUUUAAAAAUAAAUUAUGUAAAACAUAAUUUUAAAUCAAUUUUAUAUUUUAAACUAAAAUUUAAGCAAUUUGAGUAUUAGAGUGACGUUGUCUCAUUAUUUUACAUUUUCUUCUUAAAUUUUAGUAUCAGAGUGAUGUUGUCUCAUUAUUUUACAUUCUCUUUUCUUUUUUAGGUCUAGUCUGCCGAUCUAAUCAUAAAAAAUCUAAUUUUAUUUUUCGUUUACAUCACAAAAUAUAAUUAAUAUAUAUUAUUAUCAUACACUUUUACUAUAAUGAUAAUUAGUACAGAUUUUAAAAAAAUUAGAAUGUAAAUUAAUUUAAAUUAAAUUAAAAUAGAUUAAUAUACUAAAUUAUUGAUCAAAUUAAGAAAUUAAUAAUAAUAAUGCAAAUUAUUUUUCUAAUAUUAUAAAUUUUAAUUUUAGGAGAAAUAAUAAAAAAACCUACUUUUAAAAAAAUUUAUAAUUGCAUUCGAAAUUUUAAAAUUUUAUUAAUUAAAUUCUAAUCUUUUAAGUUAUAAUCGAUUGUUUUCUGAAUUUCGCCGUGAUGCAAUUACGUUAGUUUUUAAUAAAAAUUUUAACAAGGCAUAAUUAAAAUAAAUACGAAAGUGUGGAGUUUAAUGAGCAAGAUUGUGCAAUAAUAAAAAUGAAAAAAGAAUGAUUUUUUUAUCAUUAACUCUAUAUGAUUAAUAAAUAUUUAAAUAUUUAUUUUUAAAAUUUUAAUAUAUGUAGGAGUUGUUACUGUCAGGAGCCAGCAGUAUUUCAUUUAAAUAAAAAAAUUAAUAAAAUUAAAUUAAUUUAAAAUUUUAAUUUAAUUUUUUAUUUAUUUCAGUUAAAUUUAAUUUUUAAUUUAAAAAAUUUUAAUUAUGUUAAUUUAAUUUGAUUUUGAUUAAAAAAAUAAAAAAUUUGAAUCGAAUUGAUUGGUAAAUAUAGUAUAUUAUUUUUAAUAAUAUUAAGAAAUUAAAUUAUAAUUAAAAUUAAAAUAUUUUAAUUAAAUUUUAGAAUACUAAAAAUAAAAAAUAAAAAAUAAAAAGUAUAUCCAUUAAAUCGAAUCUGUUUCUACUCAAAAUUGAUUUGAUUUUUGUAAAGAUUGAAAUUUCAACUUUUGGUUUAAUUUGAUUUUAACCGGAUUGACGGAUUGUUGACCUCUAAUUAUGUUGAAUCUUCACCAAUAAAAAUAUUAUAGCACUCCAAAAUUAUGUCAAUCUAGUAUAAGCACACAAUGAAUUGAUUCAAAUGAUAGAAAACCUGGUAUCUAUGUACCUGACAAUGAAUUGAUUCAAAUGAUAGAAAAUAUAGAUGCUAAUGGAGAUGGGUUUGUGGAUAUUGAAGAGUUUGGAGGAUUAUAUCAAACGAUAAUGAAUGAGAGAGAUGAGGAUGAGGACAUGAGAGAAGCAUUCAACGUUUUCGAUCAGAACGGCGAUGGGUUUAUCACGAUGGACGAGUUGAAGUCGGUUUUGGCAUCCUUGGGUCUAAAGCAAGGAAGAACUUUUGAGGAUUGCAAGAGGAUGAUCAAGAAGGUGGAUGUGGAUGAUCAUAAAGUUAACUCUUCUCACCUGUCAGAUUUUCUCUCUAUUUUGUAGAGAGAGAGAGUUCUUUCUCCAGUUGAGGAUGAGACUUUUUUUAUGCUGACUCUGUGCGACUGCUCUUGCUCCUCUCAGGAAGAGCGGCUCCUCCCCCUCCCUUGCCUAGAUGUGGACAUGCUCCCUCCCUUUAGGACAAGAUUGUACAUAGUUUUGGUAAUUUUUUUUAUAUUGGAGCUUAAAGAAAGGGAGUUUAUUUCGUCCUGCUUAGGUUUGUUUGCAUAUAGUGGCUCUUAUUUGUUUUUGCAGAUUUGGAUUCCAGAGCUACACCCCAAGUGGUUUACAGAGAUCUGAAGGCGAUGAGAUAUGGUUUGUUUUGACCGUGAUGCUUUCUUCCCUUCCUUAGUUUAGAAUCGUUUGAUCUAAAAAUCACCUCGACUCUAGAGAUAAUUGGCAUGAUAUGAUCGAGAAAGACAGCCUUUCCUUUUUAAAGUAUUGGAUCCAGGUGCAUGUGCUCGACGGUCCUUCCCUUCAUCUCUCUUAGAUUUGGUAGGCUUGCAUGUGGCUUUUUGACUAGUGAUCCUCUCUGUGCUUCAUCUUAUUGUUUCAAAGCUUCUGACAGCCAUGGUUGAUGAUCUCCUUCCCUGUUAUCAUUGGUGGUGUUGGUUUGCAGGAGUCGAAUUAUAUCUAGGCCAUCGGGUCUAAACUUGUUGUAGUUCUUUUCUUUUUCUAUUUGGCUAUAGGUCCUCUGAUUUUUUUUUUUUUGGAAUUUUUGUGGGUUUAACCUAUAAAUUUAAUUUUAAUUAAAAUUUAAAUUUAAGACUUGGAAAUUUUUAAAUUUCACCGAUUAUAUGUAAUAAUAAUUGAUUAUACGUAAUAAAUUUCAUUAGUUUCUGCUGGUUCCAUACAAGGAGAAUUACUAUCUAUCUAUCUAUAUAUAUAUAUAUAUAUAUAUAUAUAUAAACUACGUCGUUUCAGUCCCUAGCUCCUUCUCUGUGCGCUCCUCUUUAAUCCUUAAUAUGUCUCGUUGCCUACUCACCCGAAUCUCGACCUCGCCGAUUGCUAUAUUCACUCCCUCUCUCAUCGCCAUCCAAUCUCGCCGCUGCAAAGCUGCUGUUCUGUCUAGAAGCAAUUUGCCGCCAUUCAUUCGUCCUGCUUCGCCUACCAGUUGGUUCGUUUAACAUCGCCGGUGAGUGGAUUUUGUGUUUACUGAUUUUUGGGUUCACUGCUAUUUGGGUUUUGUGUUACUGCUAUAUUCGUAGUUAAGUGGCUUUCUGGCUCACUUCUGUUUAGCUUGUUCGUCAUUCACUGAGUUAUUCUCUUGGUUUUCUUUUUUCACCUCGAUUUUUGCGUUGCUGUUUCUUGUUCAAUGGAAUACAAAUUCCAGUGAUGGUAAAUCGAGUUGUUAGUAUGAUAUUGAGUGACGAGUUCAAAGUUAUUGACUUUUUUUUUAAAAAAAAAAUAUUUCAGUGAGAGCUAUAAUGGAAGAAAUGAGAUAUGAAUUAUCAGAGCAUCUCGCAUUCUCUUGUUUAGGACGUUUUAGGGAUUUAUCCUAAAAAGGUCAGUAAUUUCUUUCUCAAUAUUCGUUGUUUAUUUUGGAAAAACUGGAUUUACUUGUAUCUUGGAUCAUUAUUUUGCUUGUCAACCAUUACCAAUUUGAUAAUUAUUUCUAUUAUAGUGUUAAUCCUGAUUCUCCUUCUCUCUAUCCUCUUCCUAUCUGAAGAAGAGUUUGACAUUAAUUUACAAAGUGAUUGUGUCUGCGUGUUUAGGAUCCCAAACAAAAUUCUAAACUGUGUACCUAACUUUGAAACUUACCCUUUGGAUUCCUCAACUGAAAUUCAGUAAGCACUUAAUGCAGUUGCUCAAUCAAGCCAAGAGUCCUAUCUAACUGCGGUGUUUAGAAAAUCCUAUAAACAUCUUCAUUUCCCUUCAUCUGGAAUCAUGUAAUACUAUUGUUUUGGAGUUGUUGGUAUGAGCUUUCUUCCUAGCCAGAGGAAAGAUAUGCCAGAGAGGGAUGACAUCUUCACAGGUGGACGUAAUUCCUGGAUACAAAAUGUAACAAAUUGUAUCAGUAAUGGGUAGUAGUAAUUGGGUUUGACAGUAGUAUGGGUAGCAGAAAGGUAAAUCCUAAAUCUAAUGAGCAGCUUUAUUGCCAUUUCCUGCUCUAUAAGUGUCACAAACUCUGGCCUCCUGAAUUUUAUACAUGUCUUCUACUUCAUUGAAAUGUUUAGCCUUUACCAUCAACAACCCUGAAGAAUUGCAUACAAUUCUGCCUCAGCGGAGGAAUAUAACCCAAUUUUCACAGUAAAUCUCCUCAACCAAUCACCACUAUUAUAUUGAAAUUAUCUACUCCAUCAGCCAUGCCAAGAUGCUUCUAACCAUUGAUUUGGGCUCAUAAAUCCACUGUUCAAUUUGCUUGUUUGAAUCACAAAUGCUGCCAUUAAAACUCCAAUACUCCAUUCAUCUUUUAUUUCUAUUACCACCGCACUGGAUGAGAGAGUGAAUAUGGCAAGGUCGAGACUCAAGACUCGAGUCUCGAGUGACCAAGUGAUGAGAGAGGGAGCGAAUAUGGCAAGGUAAGUUUUAUUAAAAUGGGAAGUAAGUAGCUUCACCAACCAAGCAGCAAAAUUGGACUUGUUUGGAACUUUCAAUGUGGAAUUCAAAACCUUCAAACCAUGUUAAAAUACGCCUAACAAUUAGAACAUUAUCCAAAAAUCAUGUUGUCAUGUAGAACCAUCUUAGCUUCAAAAUAUAUCACAUGAAAAGUUUUAGUUAUUACUAAAUUGUCAUAAAUUAUUUGGGUAAAAAUGUGAUUUUCUUGGCACCAUUAGUUUUCAAAAUUCAUUGCCAAAACGUAUUACUCGUAAAUUAGAAGGCUCACAAAAACCUAAAUUAUAGCUAUUUUCUCCUAAAAAAUUUGAAAAAAAAAAGAAAAGAAACCUUUAGUGCCUAAUUCUAGCAGCUAGACUCAAACAUUGAUGUGUAGAAUGUAAAAUUCUCUCUUCCACUAUUUUUCUCUUUUUGUCACUUUUUUUUUAAAAUUGAGGCUUUUUUGGCUUUCUUACUCCCUUUGAUCCUUUGCUCUAACUAUACUGCUAAUAAAUUGAGAAUGAGAUGAAUUGGCUAUUUUUUUUACAAAAUAGUGGGAGUAGGAUAGAUAUUUAAUUAAAAGGUGUUAUUUAAAGUUAAAAAUUAUUUAUCAAAAUAAGGUUAAUUAGUUUUUUGAAAUUUUAUUUAUAUGUAUACAUGAUUAAUAAAAUGCAAGUGAAUGUAUUUAUAAAUUGAACUAAUUACUUUUCAAGAUUAUUGGAAAAAACUGGUGAAUUUUAAGUGGAACAUACAUCAUUAUGAAUUAACACACAUUUACAGCACUACCAAAAUGCAAAAAUAACAUUGUUUUGUUAGAUAAUUUAAUUUUUAAAUGUGAAUUGUAAAAAUUAAAUAAUUUUAAAAUUACAAAAUUCAUUAAAUGCCUCCUUUAAUCCCAUCAUUUUGUAAAAUCAGCAGUUAUUUAUUUCAUUCUCAACCUGUCAGCAGUACAGCUGUAGAAGAAAUUUGGAGUAAGAAAGAGAAAUCGUAAAAAAGCUUCAUUUGAAGAACAGGUGAGGAAACCCAAAAAGUAAAAGACAAUGGUGGUAAAGAGGGUUUUAUCAUCUAGAGGAUUAGUGGCUUUUUGCAAGUCUCAUCUGCUCAAGAAUUUGUUGUCUCCUUCAAUUCCUUUUUUUCCCAAAUCAUUUCCUUGUAGAAACAGGUAUCUCUCUUAUACUUUAAAACUCUUAUGCUCUUUUAGCUUCUAAUCCUUUUUGGUUACUUCCCAUGUAAUUAUAUUCUGAUUUGAAUGGAUCAAAGUUUAGAUCUAAGUGCAAGAAUUAGUUUGAAAGUUUUUUUUUUCUUUCAUUUUUCUGUGGAAUUAUUAGGGAGAAAAGAACCUUCUGAUAGUAAUUUGGCUAAGCCUUUAGUUUAUGGGUAAUAUGCUUUAGCUAUGUGUUUUGAUAGCUAAUGGUGCAAAGAAAAUCACAAUUGUACCCAAAUACUCACGCAUUUACAUGAAACUUGCAUGGUUUAUGGCAGUUUAGUUGAUUUGAAAUUUUCAUGUGAUAUUUUGAGGCUAAGAUAGUUCUACGGAACAAUAGAAUUCGUGUAUAAUGUUCUAAUUCUUUUGUUUCCUUGAGAUGGUUCAAAACUACCAUACUAGAAAUUAUGAAAGAACUCAAUGUAGCUUUCUGUUGUUGCUUGGUUAGUGAAACUACUACAUUUUCUUAUGUGCUUUUAAUAAAAAGUUAUUUGGUAGUCUUGCUUUUUUUGUCCCGCUUUUUCUUUCUUUCUUGUGAUGCUUCUUGCAAUUCAUGUCUCAAGCUGUGAAGAACUAGAGGACAUGCAAGGUCCAUGUCUUAUCAUAGAUAUCUAUCACAGUCAUUAUUUGUUUUCUUAAAUGUAAUUCUGUGAUGUGCACAUUUUUUUCAGGUUAGCAUUUUGAUAAAUUAGCUGGUUUUGGAAGUUUUGCCUAUGAUCAUUCUUAAAUGUUAUGAUUCCAAAAAAUAUAUGAAAAAAUGAAUUGUUUUGAGCAUAUGAAAUUUAUCCAUUUUCAAAUUCUAUGUAGUCAAUGUUAAACACUUUAAGACGACUUUUCUGCAAUUGUGCAUGAACUUGAAAGCUGAAAUUGAAUUAACAUUUAUGAAGAUAAACUUGCCCUUUGUUAGCUUGAUUAAUGUCACGUGCAAGCCUUUUUCUUAGGUACCUGCUUUUGGGCCAGUCUGUUUGUACUAUUAAAGGACCUCAUUUGGAGGGAUGUCUAUCGAUUCAUACUGGUUCGGUUUUGAAUAAUGAGGACAAGAAUGGGGAGCCACCAGCCCAUUCUGGGAAAAUUACAACUGCUGAUGGUUCUGAUGGUAGUAAAAUGAAGAGGAAAAAGUUGAAAGGAAAACGAGCAGUUGUAAGGUGGUUAAAGUUCUUCAGGUGGAAAAAGAAGAAAGAGUAUGAAAGAAUGACUGCAGAAGAAAAAAUUUUAUACAAGUUGAAAAAGGUAAACUUUGUUUUUAAAAAAAAAUAUAGUACAUAAUGGAUUAGUAAACCUAAUUUUCUUUCUUAAUUUUGAGUUGCAUCAGUUGGAAUCAAAUAAUGUUAGAGACCCUUGAAAUAAAUAUUGGCUUCCUGAUUGUAUUAUUUUGUAAUAUUAUAUUUUUUUUUUCUAAUCUCUCUCUCUCUCUCUCUCUCUCUCUCUGUCUAUUUAUUAUGAUGGGUUAGAUCAACUAUUCAGUUAAGAUUUUAAGUUUGUCUAAAGUUGGUUAUGGUGCCUUUCUUGAUAUACACCGUCAGUAUAUUAUUUGUCAGAUUUGUCAUUUGUCCAUAUCUUCAUACUGCAGGCUAGAAUGAAAGAGGAAAGGCUUGUUCAAGCUUUAAAGAAGAUCGAACCUGCUGAAUCAUCAGAACCAACUCAUGAUCCAGAGAUAUUGACCCCAGAAGAGCAUUUCUUUUUUUUAAAGAUGGGCCUAAAGUGCAAGAAUUACGUACCAGUAGGGAGACGAGGAAUCUACCAGGGUGUAAUUCUUAACAUGCACUUGCAUUGGAAGAAACAUCAAACCUUGAAGGUAGUGGUGAAGACAUUCUCACCAGAGGAGGUCAAGGAGAUUGCUGCUGACCUGGCACGUUUAACUGGAGGGAUUGUGCUAGAUAUUCAUGAAGAAAACACAAUAAUCAUGUAUAGGGGAAAGAAUUAUUCCCAGCCACCAACUGAAAUAAUGUCACCGAGGGUCACUCUCGGCAGAAAGAAGGUUAAUUUCAUUCCUUUGUGUUCUGGAAUCCUUCAUGGAUAAUUGCAAGAAUCCAAUAUGCCUUUAUGCAGAUAUCAGCAUUUCAUAGUGAUCAAACAUACUUCCAUCCGCUGAUGAAUAAUUCUCUCUUGUGACCUAUGCUUGCUAAUGGAACACAAAGCAAGCAUGCCAGACAGAGUUAUGCAUGUUCUUGUUGACUUGGUUGUCUUAUUAAUUCAACAAAGCAGCCUUAAAUCCUUGAAUUUCAAUCUGCCUGCUGAUUUCUCUUUUCUUUCCAAUCCAUCUUUUCAGGCUUUGGACAAAUCGAAGUAUAGGGAUGGCCUUAGGGCUAUUCGGAGGUAUAUUCCUAGACUUGAACAGGAUCUUGAGUUGCUCAAGGCACAGGCUAAAGGCAAAGCUGAAAGUGGGGCUGCUUCUGUUGAAGAGACCCUGAAGACUGAGGAUGAUGUUAGAAAAUCUAGGAGCAUUUCAAGCAUGCAACUGGAGAAACCGGAAAGGUUGAAAGAAAUUAUUGACAGGCAAGAGGAAUGUCCUGAGGAUGAAUGUGCCACAGAUUUAGGGAUGGUAUCAGAUUCAGAAGAUCUAUCUGAUAUUUUUGAGACAGACUCUGAGACAGAGACACAGGAUAAAGCAAAAGGUCGUCUUUAUUUGGAUGAGUUUGAAAGGUUCCCAAUUGAAGGUAAUGGAGACGCUGAAGAUCUUGAGGAGCAGUUGCGCCAACUGUGUAAGGACUCAAAAGAGGCCGAGUCAUCAGAGAAAGAUGUCUCACCCUCCCUCGACGAGUUCGACCGAAUGGUUCUUCGUGCUGCUUCUCUAUUAAAGAGGCAGAAGAGGUAGGAGAUGUAGAGAGUUGCAAUCACCAUCAUCUUGGUUUGAACAGCUUCGUCAUCAUUUUUUCAUAUGCUUAGCAUUUAGGCACAAUGAAAACAAACGAUCAAAUUUUGAUUUCAUUACAAGUACAUUUAAUUCUUUUAAUUUUCACCGGUCGUAUACAAAAAAUUACUUUGUACUUGCGCAAUAUCAUUAGAUGAGCCAAAUUGACUUCGUGUCACAAAUUUAACUCUGAAUUUCUCAUUUCCAUCCUCGAGAUACAUAGGUUAAAAAUAUUUAGACCUGGCCAAUGGCCGGUUUCAGUUCGAAACUGAUGCAUCAAAUCAAUUUGAUUUACGGGCCAAGGGCCGGUUCUGGUCUCCACCUGCUGCACACAUUUGACACACCUGCUAUUUCUUAAAGCAAAUGCACACUGUAAGCUGCUAAUUAUCAAAUAAAACAUUUAUAGUAAUUCAACUGGUAGAUAAAGAACGAUCAACCUUCAGGAGAUAUGUUAUUACUGUAAAAAUCAUGGAUCUGACAAAUGUUAGAAACCUAACGAGCAUGACAUUCACAGUGAUAUAAAACUGGGAUAGAUGAAAAAAACAUUAGUGAAACUACGCGGGCGACCCAUAAGGGGAAAAUAUAUAUACAGACUGUUCUAAACAUAUUUGCAAUCUAAAUCCUCCUGUAGCUCAUUUUCUAGUUUUUUUACAUUGUUAACAAUAUCUUGAACCUUAGUUGAUAAGUGAUUAGUAUGUUCCUCAAUAUAUGCCAGCACCAUGCGUAAUUGUUCCUGGUAAGCAGCACACUGACGUUUACAUCGUUGUUUCUCAUUGUUAAGCUCAAUGGUCAAUUCCCGUAUUCUCCUAUCCUUCUCAUCCUGAAAGGGGGGAGGGGCAAAAUAAGACUGAAGAAAACUGUUGACAAAUGGAAACCAACUUAAGUGUUUUAUAGGUUCAAAAAUGAUCAUCAUUGUUUACCUGAAACUAAUGAAUAACUGCAGAAAGCUGGAAUUCAUAAAAUCUUUAUCCGUGAUUCAUUAUGUGACCACGUGGACAGAUUUACUUACUAAUGGUCACAUUAACGAUUUAUUCUGAAUCAAGAAGUAUUAAUCUUUAAUGACCUUGACUAAAGAAUUUGGCAGUCUUGUAGACUGAUUACAACCAGUAUACACUGGGGCUGAGUUUGGCACUGAAUUUGCAUAUUUUUAUGAUAGAAGCAAUUUGGCCUGUGUCAAUGUUACCAAACCUCUGCAAGUCUACACACGUGCGCUCAAGACUAAACAACCACGCAUUGAACUCCUAGACUAACUGCCAUGUGAAGUUUGACUUAUUCAACUAUUUUGAUUAUUUUAUGCAUUCAGUUAUUUCUUUUAACUUGUGCUUCCUGUUUUGUAAAGUUCCUUCACUUUCUUUUAGUUGUUCCUAGUUGUAGAAGGGUGUUCCUCCACUAAGAAGUAAUGCUCCCUUUGAUGUAGGAGGUAGUUAUGUCUCACUCCUGUAUUUAAACAAUAAUCAAUCAAGUCUUUGAACACUUUAAUCUAAAGAGGUUCUAGAUUCCCUCUCUAGGGCCUGAACUAACAGCCAUUGAAAAGAAAAAUGAUGAUCAUAUUUGAACCUAUGAAACUAAUGAAUAACUGUAGAAAGACCCAUAACCAAAUCUAUAACCCGGGACCAUAACAAUUUGGUAGCACAGCCAAUAAUUAUGGGCGAUCAGUUCAAGAAUAGCUUAACAAACUCUUCAACUUACUCUUAGCCGAGCAGCAAGCCAACCAGUCCAGAAAUAAGAAAGUUGAACAACUUUAUACCAAAAUGUACGCCAUGUCUCUUGACUUAGAAUCGACAAAGAAGGGGCUGUCUUUUUUAAGCGCUGAAAGUCAAACUAAAACACGAAAAGGUAAGAGAAUUUCUGUGAGACAAUUUUUAAAAAUUUUGAAGGAAACUGGAUUGUGCCAAAAUUCACAAAACUUGACUUUCCUCGCUUCAAUGGGCUAGAAGACCCUUUGGGUUGGCUUAAUCAUUGUCAACAUUUUUUCCGCCAUCAAUCAACACCCGAGGAAGAAAAGGUGAGCUUAGCCUCCUAUCGCCUAGAAGGAAUUGCUCAAUUGUGGUAUAUGCAGUUGUUACAGGAUAUUCCUGAUUCGACUUGGGAGGAAUUCUCACACCAAUACAAUAUUCGAUUUGGUCCUCCAAUUUGCAGCAAUAAAUUGGGAGAAUUAGCCAAACUUAAGCAAAUUGGCUCGGUGGUGAAUUAUCAGAAAAAAUUUGAAUUUUUGGUGCCUCGUGCUGGUGUCCUUACACAACAUUAGAAGGUUCAGCUUUAUCUCAGCGGAUUGCAAGAUUCUAUAGCUGUGGAAGUUGAACUUCACAAACCCAAGGAUAUGGUAACUACAAUGAGCAUGUCAAGGCUGUAUGAACGUAAACUGUUCUCACGUUGCCCAGCCGUUAAGGACGAUUGACGCACUGCUCUUAUUCCGGAACUUCCCCCAAACUGUUUAGUGAAACAGUUGACUAGAAAUGAGAUGGACGAAAGGCAAAAGAAAGGAUUAUACUUUAACUGUGAUGAGCGUUUGUUUGCACUCAUCAGUAUAAAAAAUUGUUUUGGAUCGAUUUAGAAGAACCGAAAGAUGCAGGUGAUACCUUUUCAGAUGUGCAGGAUCUAGAACUACCACUUCAGAUUUCGUUGUAUGCAAUUACUGGAAUCCGAUACCUUCAAUCCAUGCGAUUGCUGGGCAACUGAAAUGAUGGCAAGGUCCUAGUUCUAAUCGAUUAUGGCAGUACUCACAGUUUUGUGUCGACAUCAAAGGUAGGUGAAUUGAAUGCUGAAGUGAAUGAGAAAAAUGGCUUGAAAGUUAAUGUUGCUAAUAGGGAACAAAUCAGCAGCCCAGGUAUCUAUAAGGGAAUGCAGAUUCUAUUGGGAUCAUCGAAUUCCUUUGUAACUAGGAGCAAGGCCAAUUGUGGUUCGGUCAUAUAGAUAUCCCCAUAGUAAAAAAGAUGGAUUGAAAGACAGUGUGCUGCCAUGUUACAAAAGGGCAUAAUACGGCCUAGUUGUUCACCUUUGUUUUCACCCGCGAUCUUAUUUCCAAAGGCAGACGGUUCUUGGCAUUCAUGUUAUAAUUAAAGAGAGUUGAACGCCAAAACCAUCAAAAAUAAGUUCUCUAUUCCGAUGAUUGAUGAGUUGUUGGAAGAAUUAGGAGGAGCCAAACUCUUGACAAAAUUGGAUUUAUUGUUCGUGUAUUACCAGGUUGCCAUGUAUUCUCCGAAUAUUGAGAAAAUAGCAUUUUGAACACAUCACGUUCACUUUGAGUUUCUGGUGAUUGCUGUUUGGACUCUCCAACACCCCUUUCACCUUUCAGACCUUGAUGAAUGAGAUAUUUCAAGCUUACUUGAGGAAAUUUAUUCUGGUUUUCUUUGACUAUAUUUUAAUUUUCAGUCUGAACAUGGGCAGAACAUCUUCACCAUUUGCUGCUGGAACUUUCAGUUGACACAAAAUAAAUUAUUCCUCGAAUUCUCCAAGUGUACUUUUGCUCAGACUUAGGUUUCUUAUUUGGAUCACAUUAUUUCUCAAAAUGGAGUGCAAGUGGACGGUGGAAGAUUUCAGCAAUUAUAGAGUGACCCAAGCCCAUCACUGUUCGUGGCUUAAGAGGAUUUUUAGGGCUAACUGGUUACUACUGAAAAUUUGUGCUGAAUUGUGGAACAAUAGCCGCUCCUCUCAUGGCUAUAUUAGAGAAGAAUUCCUUUCAUUGGACUGAUGACGUUAUUACUGUUUUUGAAAGAUUGAAAUCGACUAUGACGACAACUCCAAUCUUGAUUCUACCAAAAUUUGAGCUAAUAUUUGUUAUUGAAUGAAAUGCUUCAGACAUAGGAAUUAGAGCAGCACUGCUACAACAAAAUAAUCCGGUAGCUUACUUCAAUCGGACAUGGCAGUACGACAUCAAAGCCUUCCAACAUAUGAAAAAGAGUUGAUUGGCUUGGUUAAGACUAUCAAACACUGGCAUUCCUAUUUUUGGGGUCACAAAUUCCUUGUGCGAACAGACCAUUACAUUUUGAAGUUUCUGUUGGAACAACGUACUCUCUCAUCACUGAGUUAGUAAACUUAUGCCUCUUUUUUGUUUUACGAUUGAAUACAAAGCUGGUAAAAACAACGUUGCUGAUGCUCUAUCAUGAUAUGAGAUGCCGAUCAAUUUGCUCUCAUGGCAAUUUCUAUGCCUCAAAUGAGCUUGCUUGAUGAGAUCAACGCGAACGUGAUUCUGAGGAGGCCCAGCAACUAAUCUCUGCAAUCAAUAAUGGUACAGCAACAAACAAGUGGAGUUUUAAGAGAAGCUACUCUUUUACAAAGAUAGAGUUUAUCUUCCCCAUAAUUCUCCAUCCAUUCAAACCGUGGUUAGUGCUCUCCACAAUCAAGGUCAUGAAGGUUGUUAAAAGACUCUACAUAGAAUUACUUGAGAUUUUUAUUGGCAACGAUUAAAGCAGAUUGUGUGGAAUUUUGUUAGAGCCUGUGAUAUCUUUCAACGGCACAAAAUAGAGACACUCAAACCAUCUGAUCUCGUACAACCUCUUCCGACUCAGGUUUGGGUUGAUAUUUCCUUUGAUUUCAUAGAAAGAGUUUUGACUUCACAAGAAAAAGAUAUUCUGUCAGUAGCCAUCCAUAGAUUUUCAAAAUAUGGCCAUUUUGUUGCUCUACCUUACCCAUAUAUUGUUAUAACUGUUGCUCGCUCUUUUUUUGACAAUAUUUUUAAAUUACAUGGGUUGCUAGAGACUAUGGUUAGUGAUCAAGAUGUAACUUUCACUAGUUCGUUUUGGAAGAAAUUAUUCCGCUUGUGUGGUACAAAACUGUAUUUCAGUUAUGCUUAUCAUCCGCAAUCGGAUGGCCAAACGAAAGUUAUUAACCGAACCAUUAAAAUGUAUCUUUGUUGUUUCAUAAGUGCUCAACCUAACAGUGGAUUGACUAGUUAUCUUAGGCUGAAUUCUGCUAUAAUACAAGCUAGCAUUCAACUCUCAAGUCCACUCCAUUGGAAAUAGUGUAUGGUCGUCCUCCUCCUCAGUUGCUUUCAUAUCUGCCUAGUAGCUCUUCCAUUAAAGCUGUGGACCAUGGUUUUAAAUCGCGGUCGCAGCCACAUUCGCAGUCAUGGUCGCAGGUAACGGAAACAGACCUAUAACGGCCGUAACAUAACGGUAACGGCCUGGCGCUACGCAAAUUUUUUAAAAAAACUUGCAAAGUUCAUAAAUAAAAUGAUAUUGAUUAGAUUUAAUUUAAAACAAUGUAUACAAAUGCAUAAUAAACAUAAAUAUAUGAAAUAUAGAUUAUUUAACUUAAGUUAAACAUCAUAUAGUUUAAAAUAAGAAAAAUCAACAUAAUCUUUAUAGAUCGAGUAAACUAAUAGCUCAAAUUAUAAUUUUAACUCAAAACUAACACUUUAAUCCACAAAAACUUACAAAAAAAAAGGAAAAAAAAACCAACAAUUAAAAACUAAAAUAGAUAAAAUUUAACUAACUUUUUAGAAGAAAUAAGCUUGGAAAUAGAGUAGUUUAUAAUGGAUCUAAGUUUAUAUGAGAAAUAUGCAAGGAAGAUUGAAAUUUGAAAGAGAAAGGGAAGAGAAAACUUAAAAAAUAUAGUCUUUGAAGCUGCUGAAGAGUGUAGAAACUAAUGAAAAUGAGAAUAGGGAGAAAAAAUAAAAGAAAUAAAAGAAUUUUAAUUAUUGGUAACGGCCGUUACCGUUACGUAACGGCCGUUACGCAUGCAAAUCAGGAGGGGCCGUUAUAUAACGGGAUAACGGGUGACGGCCCCCCAAAACCCGUUACAUAACGGCCGUUACGUUACCGUUAUUUAAAACCAUGCUGCGGACACAGCUCUUAAAACCAGGGAUGAGAUGCUGCACUAGCUCCGGAAAAAUCUGCAGCGAGCACAACAAAAAAUGAAGCACAACUAUGACCAAUCUCAUCACCACAUGGAAUUUCAGGUUGGUGAUAAGGUGUUCUGCUUCGUCUACAACCUUAUCGUCAGAGUUUUAGUUGCUAAAAGCAGAAAUCAGAAACUUUCAACCAAGUUUUAUGGCCCUUUUGAGGUUCUCGAGCAAAUAAGUUCCAUGGCUUAUAAACUAGACUUACCUACAGACUCAAAGUUGCAUCUUGUUUUCCAUAUUUUCAUCCUCAAAUAGUAUCAUGAAGGACAAGAUUCUUGUACUCCGGUGCUGCCACCACCUGUACUAGAUAUUCCUCUUCAAUCUCGGGCUGUUUUAGAUCAGCGUAUUCAGGCCGGACAACUUGAGAUUUUAGUCCAUUUGUAUCAUUCUUCUCCAACGGAUGCUUCAUGGGAUAGUGCUCAAGAUUUUUUGACCAAGUAUCCUGAAUUUGCGCUUGAGGACAAACACCCUUUGGGGGCGGGCAGUAAUGUUACCAAACCUCUGCAAGUCUACACACGUUACACAUAUGGGCUCAAGACCAAAUAGCCACGCAUUGAACUCCUAGGCUAACUGCCAUAUGGAGUUUGACUCAUUCAACUAUUUUGAUUAUUUUAUGCAUUUAGUUAUUUCUUUUGAAUUGUGCUUCCUGUAGGAGGGAGUUCCUCCACUUUCUUUUAGUUGUUCCUAGUUGUAGGAGGGUGUUCCUCCACUAAGAAUUAAUGCUCCCUUUGAUGUAGGAAGUAAUUAUGCCUCGCUCCUAUAUUUAAACAAUAAUAUCAAUGAGAGAAGGGCUUCCAAAAUCAAUUAAGUCUUUGAGCACUUUAGUCUCAAGAGAUUCCAGGUUCCCUCUCUAGAGCCUGAAAACAGCCAUCAUAGGUCGCAAAAAGAAAAACCCCAACCUACCCACUCAAACACCAUCCACACCCUUACCCAAAAGACCCAUAACCAGAUCCUUAACCCGGCACCAUAACAAAACCUCUCCAGCAACAAAUGAACUCUAAAACAGCUAAGAAUAUAAAGAGAAAUAUCAAAAGUACUUCCAUGUAUGUGAUGAGAAAGAAAACCUACCUCACUGAUAAAAUUUUUUGCAGAUCCUCGCCAGGGUACUCUACUAGGAGACAUUAAUGUAUGAUUGUGCUCUUUAAUGAAUUUGGUGACAACCCACUUAACUCCAUCCCUUAAAGUUAAUCUCAACAUUGCAGGACAGCCUUCUCGAGUUGCAGGUGGGGGAGGAAGAACCCUGUCUUUCCUGUAUAUGUAUUUCUUUUCACGAAAACCUUCUUUGGAGCAAACAAAAUCCUGACCAAUAACCAUAUUAUUUACUCGAGAGCGUCGGUUAUGAUGGAUGCGCACAGUAAACCCUGUAUGCCUGCCAUAAGCAAUGUAAAAUUCUCGAGCAUGAUCUCUUGAGUUGAACUCCAUUCCGAUGCAUGGCUCUACAAUAUCACUUGAUGAAGGUGGUUCAUUAGAUUGCCAUGUGAUCUUGUCAACUUCACCUAGACAUAAAUCAAUAUUUUUUGAGAGCUCAUCUUCUGUGAAUUCAUGUCCGUCAUAGUCUCGAAAACUUCUUUCACUAUCAUCUGACCCAAAUACUUUAUUAGAUGAGCUCUCUAUCAUUUUCUUGCUGCAGAUUUAGACAAUCUGUUCAUCCAUUCAAUAACUGCAGGAGGAAAGCAAUACUGGAUUAUCAAUUUGCUAGUUUUUUGCAUGAAUAAUUUUUUUGGAGCUGAAAAUAGGAGACAAAUUGUAUAUGUAAAUGGGAAAAGACAAAUUGUAUAUGUAAAUGGGAAAAGAAAAGCAGAAAACAAACCUCCAUACAAAAGUUAAAUGAGAACAGAAUUGGGAUAAAAACAACCUUGCAUAUUUAAAAAUCCUGAUUGUAGUAUGUAAAUGCUAACCAUAACAAGAAAGACAACUGGUUUCCUAAGAAGCAGAACCCACCUUCAUCCUAUUUCCAAGAGGUAGUUUUAUCAAUUUAUGCAACAAUGCAAUCAUGAGAGUCCACUAUUUUUUUUCAUUCGACUAACUCUUCAUGUACUUGUAUUUACUAAAAAGCAAUGGACUGUGCUUUACAACUAUAUUACUGUUGUAGACUGGUGCCACCAUUAUUUAGGUUUGUUAAUAGGGAAAAGAUAGCAUUCCAAAGAAAGUAAAUUGGAUCCUAGUUCUAUGGUUCUCAUUUAAGUGAGCUUUUGGUCGAUUUUCACGUCAGGAGUUCUGAAGAUUCCAAAGUUCAUAUGAAGCAGCUGUAGCACUAGAUCAUAGUAACACAAAUUCGGCUCCAAAGUGAAACCAAAUUGAAUCACACACACCAUUAUUUUUGGCUUGUUAAGAACACAACAGGGCAACUAUAAUCCACUAAUCCUAGACAUGAUUGUCUUUGACAGAGCAAAAGAUGCUGAAAAUUCAAUACACUAUAAUAUUAUACAAUACUCCUUCCAAAUCAUUAAAAAAUGCCCAAUUUACAAGUCCCCAUUUACACUUCAAAGUUAAUGUUUAAGCCACAUAAAAUAGACGCAUUUUGCUCAUACUCAAGUCGACAUGCUCUACGACCCCUGGCAAUGGUGGAGUAGAGAUUAUUCUGCCAAUGCCAAAAGUUCAUGGCACAAUAGAAAGUGAGAUAAGUUUUAAGCCCCGUACCUGAGAUGGAUGUUCCGGUAAUUGGCGUAAGGAAUUGCGAUAAUACCAUAAACAUAGCUGUGGAAAUGAAAUAAAUGCCUCUAAAUCUAGAUUUAAUUAUCAUAUCUUCAAUUUCUCUUUUGCUUUUCAUUUAUUUUUCUUAGCUCUGUUUCUCUAGGAAACCAAACGGAAAAUUCUGUUGCAAAAGAGCGGUAAAUGAAAGAAAUGGAGAGAAAAUCACUUGGAAAAAGCAACGAACUCCAAAAAAAAAUAUAAGGUGUUGAUUGGGCGUACCAGAAGCAGUGAAAACCCUAGGAUUGCAGAGUGUUGAAGCAGCAGCGCUGACAUGAUAGACCGGAGAUGUACGCGAUCGUAUCUUUUCUAUUCGCUAGUUUUUGGACCCACAGGCCACAGCUUCUCUUUCUUAAUUUUUUAUAAUUCCCUCAAAACGGCAUGUGUCGUCGCAGGUUUUCCACUAGGGGAACGGCAAGUCGUUCACAUAGAUUCAGCAAGUUGUAUAUGUAUAUAUAUUUUAAAUAGAGGAUUGGAGAAAUAGGUACUCAACCUGAUCUAAAAGUUAGCUAUACUUUUAAUCAUUGGAUAAGACAGAGUAGACAGAAUCAACGAAUUAUUUUGUUAAAAAGUCAUGAAGAUUUUAGCAAUAUAGUCUUAUUUAGAGUGUGUUAAACUCAAUUUAUAAAAAAUUAGCUUAAUUGUAAGUAUAUUAAGUUGUGUUAUUAAAUGAAUGGAUUGUAUGAGAUGAAAGAUUUGUAUAAAACUGAAUCAUGCUCGAUUGUAAGAUUUAGCAAGAAGAAAGAGAAGCAAAAUUUUGUAUAAGAAACAACCGAAGCCAUUGCAAAAAUUUCCAACAAAAGGGGAUGGCUUUGGUAAAUGCUUGUAUAAAGUGAAAAAUUAAAGCUCAAUAAAUUUAAAUGCUAAAUUGAAGGCAAAACAACUAAUGGAAUGUUUUGCUCUUGAGAUAGGGCUCUCUUCCGCAUUCCAUCGUUGUGUCUACAGGAGUUGUGGUAGGCACAGAUUUUCGGAUAUAUACGCUAAUGAUGUUUUCGCUAGGCACUUGAUAUACCAAAUGUUAGGACAACACUAUAUGAUGUUCAAUUAUGGUUAUGGCUAAUUUAAAUGAUUGGGCACGCUGGCAUGGUUUGGUACGAACCGUGAAUUAGAGCAAUUAACCCUAAAUUGAAGUCAGUCAAAUGGUUUCAAAACUCAAUUAUGAGCUUUUUUAAGAAAAAAAAAAAAUUAGGACGAGAUUAAAGAAAAAUAUGUAGUAAUAUGAGUAUUAACUUUAAAAUGAUUAAUUAUGCAUGGGAUAAAUAUAAUGAGAACGAUACAUGUAGCAUAUCACAGGCCCGUGAUGUUAGGGUCCUAAAAUCCCAGGAUCAAAACUCUACUAUUAGAAAAUUACAGUUUUGAUGCUGAGAUUCUUGGACCCUAACAGACUAUUUCAAAUGGUAUUAUCAGCCCUCCUUGUGCAGUAAAAAGUUAUUAAUUAAAAUGUGCCUUUUAAUUUUCAUUAUGUAAAUCAUGGUGAAUACUAGUUAAAAUUAUUCAUCUGAAGAAUUGAAACAAUAUUUUUCUUUAUUCAUAUCUUUCUGGCAUGCAUGAUAUGAGAACGAUACAUAAAUAUAAUGAAAGAGAAAAAAAAAAAAAAAAAAGAAUACAGAAUUGAAGCAGAGAAAUGGUUAGAUGAAAAUUAUUUAUGCAUAUAAAUAGUGUCAAAAUGAUGGUAUUUUGUGUGAAAUCGCAAAGGCAAACUUUAAGCACUAACUUGUCAGCUUUCACAACAUUGAUAAAAUGCUCCUGCCACAAUGAAACUGCGAUGAGCAUAUAAGCCAUAUUAAGUGUUGUUACCAGUGAUUUGGAAGAAAGCCAGGCUCCAGUUUAUGCUCAUUCUUCAAUACAGGUUAUAUUGCAGAAGACACAGCCUUGAAGAAGUUGGACAUUUCAGCUUACCCUGCAGGCCAGCAUCAAGUUGCCUUCCAAUGAAGUUGCAGUUGAACCAAGAGAUUUUUCUACCUUUUAUGCAUCUAAUAAAAGUUUCCUUUGCACCAACAUUUAUAUUAGGGAGAGCCAACCGUGUGAAAUUUCUAUUGCAUCUAAUUAGUACUGUUACAGCUCACUGAGUGCUAAACAAGUUGAGUACAAGAAAUUGAUCCUAAUACAUACUGUGCAUGAUCAAAUGUACCCAUGACAAUACCUAAAUGCUCAUGUCAAAUGCUAGGGCUAUCUACGGUUGGAAAACUUUUGCACUUCAGAUUCAACUUUCCUCACAUUGUCAAUGAUCACUUUAAUUUUUGAAGACAGUUCUUCAGUUUGCUCCUCAACAUUAUUCAUAAAACUAAGCAACCUUUCUCUGUAAACUGCACAUAAUUGCUCCUGAUGCUCCAACUCUUUAGUUAGUUCUUCAAUUUUCUUAUCUUUGUCACCCUACAAGUACCAAAACAAAAUCAAUUUGCUCAGACAGAAGUCACUACUCACAUAACCCUAACAUCAUUGAACUGUUGAACAACUAAAUGUUGGGCUAUUAUUACUGCCUUACACAAGGGAGCCAUCUGAUUAGGUCCCUAGACUCCCUACACAAAUUACAGACAUCAGAAGCAAAGAUCAAAGCCAUAAAAUCAAUUUCCUGAUUAAACCCCCUGAAUUAUAUAUGCAAUAUUUAUUUUAACCUAUGCAAAAUUGUGUUGCAUGAAAACACAAAGCAGACAAAAACUACAGGCACGGCCCAAGGAAAUUAUUAUGGCACAAACAAGGAAUUUACACUGUAGGUGAUAUUUGAUUCAUAAAUGAAGUUUCUUUAAAUGCAUAAAUGUACUUUAGCAAUGCAAUUCCCACACUUCAUAAAGCAUUAGAGAAUUCUCAAUUAUACUAAUACACUGAUUAGGAAACUGCCAAAAAUUUAAUCCCACUGAUCUUAUGAUUUAUAAAUUGUAACACAUGGAUCCACAUCCUUUUCCUUCUAAGGAGCUACCCCAGGAGAUGAACACAAAGUUCAUGCAAUUUUUAUUUAAUAGUGCAGAAUGUGCAAUUAAUUUAAACAAAUGGUUAGCAAAUAUAUCAUACUAGUAUUUAAUUUUAGGUGUUGAUUUGAGUAUUUUUCCAUAUGCAGAAAUCCAGAAUUACAUUAGAUCAGGGGAACAAUUUUGCUUUAUUUAUAUUUAUUAUUUUGUUGGUAGGAACUUUGUGUUCAGUUAUGUCACACAAACUUGUCCUAGAUAUUUUUAAUUCACUGGCAUUGCAAAUGAUGAUGUAAAAAACAACAUGAUACAGUACAGGGGUCAACAUGCUUUGUACAAAGAGAAAAGGAAAAAGAAAAAAAAAAUCUAGGGGUGAAGAUACUAACCGUUGUACUGAAUCCGUUAGCAGUAACAACCAGAGGAUGAUUAUGAUCUUUUUCAAAUCUUGUAACAACCCAUUUUCCAGACUUUUCCAUCUUCACCAGGAUGGUUGCCUUGCACCCUUCCCGUGCACUAGAUCUUGUUUUCUUAUCUGGUCCAAUUGUGCUCUUAUGAUUAGGUGAGAACCCCUGUUUAUUACAUCCAAGUCGACGAGCAAGGGUUCUCCCAUCAAUCCCGGAACGACGCCGUUGCAUAAUACGCACAACAAAGCCUACCCUUCUGGCAUACUCUAUGUAGAAUCUCCUGGCAGCAUCUUCAGAUUCAAAUUCCAUACCUACAUGUGGUUCUAGAAUUCCAUCUCCUUCUACAGAAAGUGUUUUUACUUCCACAGCACUGUCAACUUCACUGACUUCCUUAACCAAAUCCACUGCAUGACAUUAUUUAAUACGACCAGUUAAAAUAUUGCAUGCAUUUUUGGGAGAUUGAACAAUGCACCAAACAAAUGACUGAUAGAAUCAUAGAUGUAUUUUACAUAAUUUAAAAAUAUUUGCACAUAUUUAUGUUUUUAAAAUUAAAGCCCUUGCUAUUAAUAUUUCAUGCCAUUACAUUCAAAGCCAGAAAACAAAGCUUGUAUCUAAAGUGAACAGCCAAGUGGCAUUUGUAUAUGGUCCAAACAUGAACCUUCAGUUAAACGUUUUUUAGUUUUUUAUUUCAAAUGUAGAAGGAGAAAUAACAAUAAACUAUAGGCCACCAUAAUAUAAGGGACAGCAUUGACAUUAGAUUUGUCCUUCUGAUCUCUGUAUUGAAAUGGUACACACUUUUAAAUAAAUUACAAUGGUAAAAACAUCCACUUCUUCCUGAAGAAGUUGGGUGGCCUAAUCUUCAAGGGCUUGGCAAAAGUAAAGAGAUGCUAUCAUGCUAGCCAUUGGUAUCUUUAAAAUUUCCACUACACUAAACAGUUGGUACACAAAUUGUUGAAUUGUAUUCUGAAAGCUACUACAGCCUAGUCCAAGACUCUGUGGAGAAAAAGAGCACAUUUGAUUGCCAACAUUUAACACCAGCUUCUCAGACGCCUUUAUUUCUUUGUUCUCAAAGAAAUAGCAGAUACUAUUUAAAGUAAGACAAAAGCAAAAAACAAAGAAAGAUCUGCACGACAACUUUCAAAGAUCAUGAGAUGUUAACAAAUGAAACAAAAACUGGAUAAACUUAGGAGGCUAAAACAAUAUCCUGCAGAACCUGUAUUGCAAGAUCAAUAAAUCCCAAAAGAUUAAGUCCAAAUACUACAGCUGUAUCAGUUUGAACUUUGAAGCAAGAUACAAAGAUCUCUCUCUUUUCUUUCCUCUGGGUACAAUAUCUUCAAACUCAAAAACAUUUUGUAUAACAAUGAGAAACCGCAUGCUUCAUGGAAACAAACAAAAUCAAGCAGUAUAAUAGAGGAGGAAGUCCAGAAUAAACAGGAAUUUUAAAAUAAAAAAAAAGGUUCUUCCAUAGAAGGUGUAAUCCAACAAGCAAAACAUGACAGAACUAGCUGGUGAAAAAAUUAAAACUCAGCAAUUACACAUAAAAUGGUCGCAAAUUAUUGGAAUUUUACUAAUAUAUUAACAGAACUCCUCCAAUUUAUACAGGGCACAAAUUUGAAGUAACUAUAAGGAUGAACAGGACUCAAUCCCAAAAUUUUAGAAGUUUGAAUUGAAGUAAGAAUGCAGUAAUCUCAGGAAAGAAAACCUAAAUGAAAUUUGCAUAAUUGAAAAAAAAAAGGAGUGAGCUAACGAUUGCAUGCAUAAUAAGCUCACUUGCACGGGUUAGCCGAUCCUUCUGUGUAAAGUCAAAAAAUUAGAAAUUUUCAAGACAAAGUUUUCUCAGAAAACAAACAGAGCAAAGCAUAGGAAUUCACAUAAAACAUUAAAAAAAGGAAGAAAAAUACGAAUAUUAACAUUUUAAGGCAAAUUGUAAGGCAAAAAAACAAUAAAUUACGCGGGUUUUUUACGAAAAGCAAAGAAAUACAAGAAGAAGAGCUGAAUUUCUGGAAACUAAAAAUUGAUCGGAGCGAGAAGCUGUAAACAACUUACUGAAUCAGAAAGAUGGCCGACACAUCCAAAAUUUGGGAGAAGCAAAGCGAUCUUCGCGUUGAUGCGCGAGUACGAGAGUGUGAUGUCCAAAAAAUGUGAAAUGGGAUGAUUCUCUGCCGUUGGAUUGAGUAAUGACUGAUGAGUUACUGGAAUUGCUUUGUGUGUCACUGCUCGGACAGUAAUUCUGCGUGUGCCAGGUUUUCAUUUCGUUAAAUUACUAUUGAGUCCCUAUACUUUUUUUUUUUAAAAAAUUAACUAUUUAUUUCCUAUUUCAAAAUUACCAAAAGAAGCUCUCUCUCACUAAUUGUUCUGGAGAGAAUUUUCUCUUUUGGUCUUUCUUUAUGAAGGCUCCUCCUUCAUUUGCCUUUACAAAAGGGACAUGGGAGUUUUGCUUUCCCCCCACCAUAGGUUCUGCUCCUCCAAAAGAGAUUGAAACUGUUAAAUCUCUGCUGUAUCGUCUCUCCUCCAAAAUUUAUUUUUGCCUCAAGUGUUUAGCUUUCUCCACGACCAUUUUAAAACCUUUAUUUAUAUUUUUUUUUUCGGGUCUUUGCGUGUCGUUUCUUUGGUGGGGCUUUUGUACAUUUCAAAGGCUCCUGUGUCCAGCAAUUUCUCUACGAUGGAAGACGAACCCAGCAACAAUGCUUCAAUGGGAAGUCCUUGCUACUCCAACCAAUUUCGUGCUUCGGGCAAGAGUCUUCAUGCUGGGCUUAGCUGACGAUGGGCUUAUUUUUUUUAUUUGGUCAGAUCUUGGGUCUAGCUUGGAACUUAUGCUUAUGUUUAGAGCCAGUUUUUUUUUUCUUUAAUUCAAAUAAAAAAAAUUAAUUAAAUUAAAUUGAUUUAAAAUUUUAAUUCAAUUUAAUUUUUUAUUCAUUUUAAUUUGAUUCUUAAUUUAAAAAAAUUUUUAAUUUUAAAAAUUUUUAAUUAUUUUAAUUCAGUUCGAUUUUUAUUAAAAAAAUAAAAAAAUUAAAUCGAAUCGAUUAUAAAUAAUAAUAUAUUAUUUUCACUAAUAUAAAAAAUUAAAUCAUAUUAAAAUUAAAAUAUUCUAAUUAAAUUUUAAAAUAUUAAAAAUAAAAUUAAAAAAUAAAAAAUUUAUUAAAAAUUCAAAUCGAUCAAAUUAAAUUAAAUUGAAUCGAAUCAUAAUUAAUUCAGUUUAAUUUUUAUAAAUACUACAAUUUUAAUUUUUGGUCAGUUUAAUUUUAAAUCAAACUGACCGAAUAUUAACUAUUAAUUUUUUAUUAUUUUGAACUACUUUUGAAGCAUGUAUUGAAUUGGAUCUCUUUUUCUAAUAAAUUAAUCUUAUAUUUGGUUAAAAAAAGUCACUAAAUUUUAUUAGAUUAAUUUUUUAAUCAUUCUAUUAAAUAGAAUGCUUGUCAACUUAAUCUUUAUUAAAAUAUUUGAGUUCACAAAAUAUUUUGACUACAGUUAUAAUUACAAACGCUAAAUAGUAUAAAUACACAAAGUUAAAAAAAAAAAAAAGUUGUAAAAUUUGAUACCAUAAAAUAAAGAAUGUUUUAAUCAAAUGAUUUGGAGAGAAGGAUUAAAUAAUCAAUUUUAAUAAAAUAUAAAGACUUAAAAAUAAUUCACUAGUCCUAAUAAUUUAAUAAUGAAAUAAUAUAAAUGAGUAAUAUUAAAAAAACAUAAUAUGAAAUUUAUUAUUUUUAAAUUAAAAUUUAUUGUUUUAAUUAUAUUACUUGAUGCGAAAAUAAUUACCAAUCCUUGUUUAUGUGAUGAAAGGUUAAGUACUUAAGUUAAAUAAACCUUAAGUAUAUGUUUUAAGUUAUUAAAAUCAAAUUUAGUAUUCUAAUUUAAAAAAUUAAACUAAUUAAAUAGUCUUUAAUAUAUUAAUAAUAUUUAAACUAAUAUUUUUGCAAAUAUUAAAAUUAUAACAUUAAAAAAACCCUCAAAUAUAUUAACGAGAGAAUUUGAAAUUAUAAUUAAUUUAAAUUUAAAUAGACUGAUUAAUUUUAUAAAAUAAAAUGUAGGUAAUUUAUAAUAUAAUCCUGAAAUUUAAUAAAAUUUAUAAUUUAAUUUAAUUUUUAAACUUUGAUUCUGUUAAUAAAAUAUUCAUUACAUUAAAAUUUAUUAUUAAAUUAUAAUAUUUAAUCCUUCCGAAUUUAUUUUUUAUAAUAGUUUUAUUUUUUAAAUUUUAAUAAUCUAAUUUUUAUAGUUUUAAUAAUUUAUUAUUUGAAUUUAAAUUAAUUUUUUCAAUUAAUAAAAAUUAUUUUAUUAAAAAAUAAAAUUAAGGAAUAAAUUAUUUAUAAUUAAACAAGUCCACGAAGGCUCCAGUUCCCAAACGCACGUUUCACUGGUCUAAACCAUAGACCAAUUUCCCUUGCAAAGCAGAGGAUCUCUCCAUAACCAUAAUCUUCCUCUCACCGCUCCCUUUGGCCUUCCACUUCCUCUGAGCUCUCAGAGACUCCCAAAGCUUAAAAUCGUUCAUAAGGUCGCCAAUUCAAAAUCCCUCCGUCGUCUCUAUCUCUCUUUCACACGCUUCUGCAGCCAUAGAUAGUUUUUUACGGCUCGAAUCUGUUCCAAGUAAGCGUCUGUAACUUCUUUUUCAAUUCCGACUCAUUUUCUCCCUUCUUCUAGCAUUUCCUUUGUGCCGAUAUUGUUUUUGAUUUUGUAUAUUUAGUUUCAAUUACAAUGAAUCUCAGCAAUAUUUUCCUAGUCGUUUUCGGUUUGCUUGCUUGCUGUAUGUUUCUUCAGCUUUGAUUAACGGGUUAUGGCUAUCUUCACUUUCAGAUUAAUAAAAAUCUAUUAAUUAAGCUGCUUUUAUUGAAUUUUCAUAUGGGAAAUGAAAAUUUUGAGUGUCAACUUCUCUGUUCUUUUGCCGAGAAACUCUGGAAGCGCCAAAACAAGGGACAUAAUUACGUUAUUUAAAGCAUUUUGUUUAAAGCGAAAUGGAAUGAUACUUUCAUGGCUCACUUAUAUUGUUAGAUUAUAUCUCGUGUACCUCGUGUGAAGGAUGUACUUAAUUGAUUUCCUAUAACUAGUAAUUUUAAGCUUCUGCCCCUAAUUGCCAAAUAUUGAACUGAAAAUAAAAAAUUUUGGCAUUUAUUUUAUUGAAUGACGCAGGCAAUACUGUUUAAUGGUGCGCAUUUGAGAUUUGAAGGUUUUUUUUUUUUUUAAUCUCUCUCUAGACAAGUUGUGAUGGUAUGCACUGAAAACAGUUAAUGAUAACUUUAAUCCUUAAAUUAAACCAACUGCUACUAUAUGUUGAUUAAGUACUAAAACUACCCAUUAACAGAAAUUUUAGUAAAUAGGCCGCAGAUUAUUUUGCCCUUAUUAAGGAAAAUCAGAAUCCAUUCAAGAUCAGUUUAUGAAACCGUUUCAACUAGAAGGAUGGUAGUGUUUAAACUAGAAUGGUAUUUUGUGUAAUUUACAAUACUGUAGAGGGUUUCCUGUUGUAUAUACCUGUUGUGUAUACUCUUUAGAGUAUACUAUUACAUUUGAACUAAUCAAAAUGUGCUCUAUAUUUUCUGUUAGUGGAUGAACAGCCUUCUAUGAGUGAGGAUGGAGAUGUGAACCACAUUGUAGAGAGUUCUAGUGGUAAAGAGGUAACAACAAGUGAAGGAAGUUCUGAUAUAGAACCAUAUGUAGGUAUGGAGUUUGAAUCUGAAGAGGCUGCCAAGGUGUUUUAUGAUGCAUAUGCUACACGCCUAGGGUUCAUAAUGCGAGUUGAUGCAUUUCGACGAUCAAUGCGUGAUGGGAAGGUUGUUUGGCGUCGGCUUGUGUGUAAUAAAGAAGGAUUUCGAAAGUUAAGGCCUAGAAGAAGUGAAAAUAGGAAGCCUCGAGCAAUAACACGAGAAGGAUGUAAGGCCAUGAUAGUGGUAAAGAAAGAGAAAACAGGAAAAUGGGUUGUAACAAGGUUUGUAAAGGAGCAUAAUCAUCCACUGGUAGCUAUACCUUCUAAUGGUCGUCGAAGUGUGCUUUUAUCUCAAACACCUGUGAGUUCCUUUAGAGAAUGAAAAAAAAAAAUAUUCUUUCAUUGGUGCUAGCUUCAGAUUUUGAUAGUUGUUUAUCAAGUUUGCAUUUGUUGGUUGCUUAAUUGUUCAUUACUAAUUUCUAAUUCCAUCAUGCAAGUUGAUCAGCAGGUUCUAUUUUUUUUUCCUUCUUGUUGUUAUUGAAUGCCAAAGUAUUCUUUUCAUUGUCUAAAUGAAACCUGUUGUACAACUUUGGUUUAUUAUUUUUCCUCCUGGAUGAGUUAAUUUGCCUGAAGUUUUUUUGAUGUAUGGAACUGGGUAGAAUGUAUCAACUAUCAAGUAGUUUGCCCUGUCUGUAAGUUGGAGUUUCUCUCUAUAAGCUGGAGUUUCUCUUUCUCUUUUAAUAUUGUUUUUCUGGUCUAUUGUAAAGGUUCGCACAUUUGACCUUGGGCAAAGCAUCAUGUCUCUCAGGACAUGUUGCUUACCUUUUAGCUGAUUACAUUUGUUCUGAACCUUUAUUUUGAAUGUUCUUCUUUUCUUCUUAAAAAACAAAAUUAACUGCUUCAACACUAGCAUCUUAUUUUUCUAAAUGCUCAGCAUUAUUUUUCAGCUAUAUGGAGAAUAUAGUUGAUGUGUGGAGUAUAAGAUUUUUACUCAAAUUUUGGAUGAAUAUUCUUUCCAUGGUGUUUAAGUCCUGCAAUUACUGUGCGUUCUUGCCUUGUGCCCUGGGCUAUGCAUUCCACUAACCAUAAAAUGAAGGUUUGUUUUGUGUCCAUGAUACUCCCAGAAAUUGGAGUUACCGAAUUGGUCUAUGAGCAGAAUUGCAUGCUUUUGGAAGCAAAACUGAGAUAGAAGUAGGAGGAUCAGAAUAUAACACCUUGUUUGGAAAAUUUUCUAGAGGGGAAGGAAAAUAAAGAAUAUUUACCUUUUGUUAUUUUCCUUACUUUUGUUUGAAUGAGUGAAAAAUAAAAGAGGGAAAGGAAAAUAAUUAUAUUGUUUAUGUAGGGAGGCAUAUAUAAAUUUAGAACAAAAGGUACAUUUCUUCUUCAUUUUCUCUCCAAAUUGGAAUGCAAAUACGUGAAGGAAAAUAAAGGUUAUUUUCCUUCCCUCCUUUAUCUUCUCCUGUCUUUCCAUUAUAGGAAAGUGAAAAAAUACCUCAUUAUUUUUCUUGGUUAUUUUCCUUCACUCCUAUUUUCCACAUAUCCAAAGACAUAGUGUAAGCUGGCUGAAUGACAAACAUUCUUACUAAUGGAGUGCUAGCGCAAAUAGCCGAUUUCUUUUAUUAUUCUGGCAUUAUAUGAUAGCUACAAUUAAAGUCGUGUAAAGACAAACUGCACCUUAGGAAAGGUUUUCUCAGAUGCAUGCACCACUUAGUGAGGCAAGUAUGAUUUUUGUUUUUCACUGAACUAGUCCAGGUUAUAUUAAGCAUCUCUCCAGACCUCUUUAGAAACAUCUAAUUAUUGGCAGUAGGAAUUUUCUAUAAAGGGUCCCACGUGACUAUAAAUCUCUAAUCAUUUUUAAUUGAGCAUGGAUGAAUAAUGCUAGGUGCUAUGCCUUUCUCCUAGUGACAGUGGAGAAGUCAUGGUGAAUGCAGCAAGCUGGAAAGUAGCUACCUACCAUUCUGUGAUUGUGCCCAGCCUCUGCUGUGAGGCAUAUAAUCCAAUAAUCACUUUCCUAUACAUAUGAUAAAAGGGGUAACUCAUAACUUCUAUAUUUCCCAGUUGUGCAAAUAUUGGCUUUGUUCCUUCUGCACUCUAUGCAUCCUUCUUAGUAGAGUUAUGGCAUUCUAUUCUUCCUUGUCUAAAUCUGGGAGAAAUUUUGCCAUGUUAUGUAUGAGCCUAAAAUUUUAUGCAUUUUGGGCUAUAUGCAUGGACUAACAAAUAAUGAGCUGAGGCGUUAGUGGGUGUAAGAAAUUGUUUUAUUUUGGGCAAAUGAGGUCAUUAAUAAUAUGAAGUUGGACCAGUGGAAGGUGACCUGCAGGUUGUGACUCCAAAUUAAUGUAUAGGAUAUUCUGUAAUUAGAGGAAGGUGGUUGAGUCUGGUAAGUUUCUGGUGUUUUGUUAUGCUAACAUUUGGAGGACCUUGAUUGUGCAUUGCUUCUUUGUUUUAGGCCCUUCCCUUGAAGCUUUUCCUUCCUCUCUCCCUUUUUGUUUGUUCUGAUUUGUAUUGCAUAAUUGCAUUAUAAUUCUGUAACUUUUUUAGUUGAAAUAUUUUCUAGGUUCUAGUCUUGCCUAUGUUCUAUUCAUGUAAGCUUGCGACAUUCUUAAUGUGUCUCAAGUCUUUUGACCUGUUAUUGCUAUAAGUUAGGACUCUAUUAGUGUUAAUAUUGUUUUAGAAGUCUAUUUUAGAAUUUGUAUGUUAUAUUGAUUAGGAAAACUCUCAUAGCGCAUAUAUAAAUACUACUCAUUAUGAAUGAAAGAAAUGCAAUUUUUCCAAAUCAAUUGACAUAGUAUCAGAGCCUAUUCCCAAAAAAUUAAAUUUCCUUUGAGAAACCCAGUGAGUUUCUCCUUCAUAGGUUUCUCCCAAACCCUAGGUCACCACACAGAGUGACUAUUUAGCUUCACCACCCAUCCCAGAAGGGGCGCCGACCGCUGAUCGGCCAUUCCCUAGAGUCCAAUCACCGAAGGAGUAGCGCGUGGGCCUCACGCGCCCAAUCUGCCCAGAUGUCGUCGGCCCAUGCGUUGCGUGUGAGCCACUUUCCGAGGACCUUCGCUUCGGUCUAUUCUCUCUUGAUCGACUUGUCGAGGGGAGUCCAUUCCGGUAUAUUGCCACCCUGUUUUGUGAGCCUUUGAAGAUGCACUUGCUUAUUUUUAUUGCUGCAAUUUCUGGGUCUGCUUUGAAUAGGCUGCCUAGUGCGUUUGAGUUCGUUUGAUCAAUCUUGGGCCUUUGUGAUACCUAUGCAUUGUGGCAGAGAAUAAACUUGUUGUGACAGACGUAAUUCCUGUAAUGACCAUAAUUACGGAAUACAUACUCAAUGGGACUAAUUUCUUGGACCGGAAUAAAACCAUUCGUGUGUAGCUGCAAAGUAUUAAUAAGGAUGAUCAUCUUACUUGUGAUCCACCCAAAGAUGCUACAAAACAAGCUUGGUUGCGGGAACAUGCUUGAUUGUUUUUAUGAAUUUGGAAUUCUAUUGAAAGUGAGAACUAAUAGAUUAUCUUGAGCUUUUGUUCUUUGGUAAAGAGAAUGUUUCUUGUAUUUAUGAUGUAUGAAAAGCCUUUUAUCGUUCAGAAAAGCUAGAGAGACUUCUUAUUGCUUAUCUCAUAGAUUUUAAACGUGUGUAUGAAGAACUUAAUGUCUUGCUUCCUUUUAGUUUGAAUGUUAAGAUUCAACAGUCACAACGGGAACAAAUGGCUGUCAUGUGCUUUCUUGCUUGCUUACCUUCAAAAUUCAAUAUUGCUAGAACUUAGAUUUUGUCUAGCUCUAAGCUACCUUCUCUCAAUGAGGCUUUUGCUAGAGUUCUUCGUACCGAAACGACACAAUUUGUGUCCUCUCAAGCUAGUAGUGCACUUGUGAGCUGUCACAAUAAUAGUAGUCGUCAACGGAAUAAAGGUGGUAGCAAGGGUGGGGCAUCAAGCAAUUGCAACAGAGAAAUGGAGGGUCGCAAUCAAGAAUCAAGUGGAAUUGUGUGCUAUUACUGCCAUGAGCAAGGAUGUACCAAAUGCACAUGCUGACAACUUUAGCACAAAAAUCAACAUGCUCAUUUAGCUUAUGUUGCAUCAUUUAAUACAAUAGAUGUCUCACCCUUUGAAAAGAAUAUUCUAGUUUAUGCAAAUGAAUAUGCUCAAUUUUCCCAACACUAAGCAUUUUUAAAGUCCAAUACCUCUUCCAUAACUGCCAUUGCAGGGUUAGGUAAAUCCAACAUGUCUUUUUCCCUUUUUAUCAAAAUGGGUUAUUGAUUCUAGUGCUACAAAUUAUAUGACAGGUAAUCUAAAUCUCUUUUCUACUUUUCAUUCUCAUACUACACCAUUUAAAGUCACUUUGGCAGAUGGCUUCACUUCUUUUGUUCUUGGUUCUGGAACUGUGGAUCUAACCUUGUCAAUUCCUCGUCUGCUGUGCUGAGUCUACCAUCAUUUUCUUUUAAUCUUUUUUUUAAUAAACUCAUACAAACCUUGAAUUGGUGUCUCAUUUUUUUUUCUGGUUAUUGCUUGUUUGAAGAUCUUAUGCCGAAGCGAAUUAUUGGUAGAGAACAUGAAUCUGGAGGUCUCUACAUACUUGACACAAGAGUGUCGAGAUCUAUCACUUGUUUCAGUGUUUAACUCCUUUUGAAGUGCACUGUAUGCUCAGACAUCCUUCAUGAUUUCUCUAAAGUAAUUAUGUCCACAAUUUCAUAAUAUUUUGUCUUUAAAUUAUGAGUCCUGUCAGUUUGUUAAACACCAUCAUCUUUCUUUAGUUUCUAGAGUUAAUAAAUGGGCUUUAUUGCCCCUUGAGUUAAGUUCGUUCAGAUAUUUGGGGUCCUUAUCCUAGUGUCCAAGACUGAUUUUAGGUAUUUUAUUACUUUUGUCGAUGAUCAUUCUUGUAUGACUUUGUUAUAUUUAAUGAAAAGUCGUUCUAAUCUAUUUUCUGUCUUUUGUGCUGAAAUAAAAACACAAUUAAUAUUUGUGUGCCCAUUCUCCAUAGUGACAAUGCUAAAGAAUACUUUUCAACUCCCAUUCAAUCUCCUUCAUUAGUCCUCUUGUGUCGACACACCUUCUCAAAAUGGGGUAGCAGAAAGAAAAAAUAGACACCUUUUUGAGGUCGCGUGACACUUUUUUUUUUCAAAUGAGAAUUCCCAAAUAGUUUUAGGCUAAUGUUGUCUUCAUUGCCUUUUUUUUAUCAAUAGGAUGUCUUUUUCUGUUCUUAAUGGUGAUAUUCCUUAUACUCUUCUUUUUCUAUCCAAGACCUUAUUCCCUCUUGAAUCUUGGAUUUUUUGUAGUACCUGUUUUGUUCGUCCUCAAAUUACCAAAUUAGAUUCAAAAUCCCUCAAGUGUGUCUUCCUUGGAUAGUGGAUACUCAUGUUUACAAAGGGGUUAUAGGUGCUAUUCUCCUGAUCUUAAUCACUACCUUGACUCUAUUGAUGUCAAUUUCUUGGAAAAUAUACCCUCUUUCUUGUGUCCUUUACUUCUACAAGCCAAUGAGAGGAUGAUGAUAUACUUGUUUAUACUAUAACCCCUAAUGUGUGUUCUAUAUAUGCUCCUACAGCUGUUCUAGCACCACCUCGGCCACCUAUAGUCCCUAUUUUUCUUUGAAAAGGUAAGCGUCUUUUUUUGUUUCCUAUGAUCACUUAUCUUCCUCAUCUAGUUUCUUUAUUGCGUCUUUAGAUUCUAUUUUAUCUCAUUAUGGUUGGCGUGCUGCUGUGGAAGAGGAAAUGAUAGCCUUGGAUGACAAUGGUACUUGGACUUUAGUGAAUUUACUUACAUGAAAGAAGGUUAUUGGAUGUAAAUGGAUAUCUGCAUUAAAAGUAAAUCUGGAUGAUUCUAUGGCUCGUCUUGAAGCUCAUCUUGUGGCCAAACAGUAGGCCUAGAUUUAUAGUAUUGAUUACUCUGACACCUUCUCUCCCGUAACAAAGAUGACAUCUGUUCGUCUUUUUAUAUCAAUGGCAACAAUUUAUGAUUGGCCUCUACACUAGCUAAAUAUUAAAAAUAUCUUUUUACGUGGUGAUCUCCAUGAGAAAGUCUAUAUGGAAAAACCACCUGGGUUUGUUAUUUAGGGGGAGUAUGGAAAGAUGUGUCGUCUCCGCAAAUCCUUAUAUGGUCUGAAGUAGAGCCCUUGAGCUUGGUUUGGGAGAUUCAGUGAGGUAGUUCAAGAGUUUGGGUUGUAGAAAACCAAGUGUGAUCACUCACUAUUCUAUAAAUAAUUUGAGGCUGACAUUACCUUAUUGGUUGUGUAUGUUGAUGAUAUUGUCAUCACAGGGAGUGACAUUGUUGGCACUUCAUCAUUAAAAUCCCUUUUUCAUACCCAAUUUCAGACGAAAGAUUUGGGACCGUUAAAAUUUUUUUUUGGUGUUGAAGUAUCAAGGUGCAAGAAAGGUAUUUUCCUAUCUCAAAGAAAAUAUGUUCUUGACUUGUUGGCUGAAAUUAGAAAAUUGGGUGUCAAACAUAUAGUACACCUGAGUCCCACUUAGUAUUGUGAAUCAUGUUUUCUCCAACAGUCAAUCAUGGGACAGUUUUAGACUAGAUCUUGUGCUAUUUGAAGGAAGCUCCAGGACAAGGCUUGUUGUAUUCAAAUUAUGGGCACUUUAAUAUUGAGUGCUUUUCAGAUGCAGAUUGGGCAAGUUUAUAGGCAGAUUGAAGAUCUUCCAUAGGAUCUUGUGUCUUUGUUGGGGGAAAUCUUGUGUCAUGGGGAAGAAAGAAAUAAAAUGUGGUCUUUCGGUCUAGUACAGAAUCGGAGUAUAGGGCCAUAGCACAAUCAGUAUGCGAGAUAGUUUGGAUGUACCAGUUAUUAAAUGAAGUUGGUCUCAAGUUUUCUUGUCUGCCCUUUAUAUUGCUUCUAACUCGAUUUUCCACGAAUGAACCAAACAUAUUGAAAAUAAUUGCCACUUCUUUCGCAACAAGAUUCAAGAAAAGUUUAUUUCUACAAGUUACGUUAGAACUGGAGAGCAGUUGGGAGACAUCUUUACAAAAGCUUUAAAUGGAGUUAGGUUGGCUAUAUUUGUAACAAGUUGGAUCAUGGUAAACAUCUAUAUUCCCGCUUGAGGGGGAAGUGUUAUUGCUGUAAGUUAAGAGUCUAUUAGUGUUAGUAUUGUUUUAGAAGUCUAUUUUAGAUUUCUUUUAUAUUCAUUAGGAAAACUCUCAUAGCUUGUAUAUAAAUACUACUCAUUGUGAAUGAAAGAAAUACAAUUUUUCCAAUCAAUUAACAUGACCAUUUGUGCUGGUAGAAUGAAAAAAUUUUCUUCUUGCAAAUGGUCCGCAUCAGUAAUCUUAUGCAUAGAUUUCACAACCCAUUUAGAUGAUACACUUCUGAGCAGUUUACAGAUAUUGUCAGAGGAAUGAGACUUUGUUAUCCCAAGCUGAGUUAGCUAAGCAAGAAUGAGUAGUUAGAAGCACUUGGUAGUUAUGAUGAGCUGGCAUAGUUAGUUACAAGUUGUUAGGGCAGUUAUGGAGAUUAGAUGAGCUGGCAGGAACUCUUGUAUAAAGGAAGAGAAACUUCUGUAAUCAUUCAUUUUUUGACGAUCAAUAAUACAACAAAUUCAGCUCUCUCUCUCUCUUUCUUCUACUUCUUAUUCUUCUUCUCUGUUCUGCUUCUUCUCAAUCCUUCUCCAAUCUUCUUCUUCUCUUGUUGUUCCUAUCAAGUCAGGAGGUGAUUCUUCAUGCGAUCAGUUCCCGACAUUUACAAAUCAAUGAUUCCUUCUCUAACUAACUGGCUGACUUAACAACUCUUUAACUAAUUCACAUAACUGCUCAGCUCUUCACUACAGUCACAGCACUACCCUCCCCCCUAAGAGCAUUCUCGUCCUCAAGAAUGACAAUUGGAAGCUGGUGUAGAAUAAAGUGGACAAGCAUCCAUAUGGAAUCUUGAAUAUUAUUGUCAUUCCAUUGAGUCAAACUUUAUUUGUUGGCAUAUUUUGCCUGUAGUUAAUUUGAAAUUGAGUGUCAUCAUAGACUCAACUUGGACACGGCUAUGCUUGCUUACAUGUGACAAAGAUAACGGAGAGAUCUGAAUUCCUUGUCUUUCCAAGUAGGACCUUGAUUACUGGACUUUGGAAGAGAAGCUUGAGCCAACUGAUCAACUUGAUUGGAUAAUGAGCAACUUGAGGUUAUGAACAUAGGAAAUUGUCAAUCAACUUAACGUUUCUACAAACACCUUGUGCACAAAUUCUCUCUUUUUUCCUCUGCCUUCUUAAUGUUUCCCAUUUCAUUUCCACAAGAAUUACGGAAGCACCGUAGCUGCACUUCUACUCAUGGUUUCUGAAAUAUUGUAACCUUUGUACAGUCCUCACAAUUGAUGUAAUUCUCUAAUUUCUUCCUUAUCAAAAGUACCUCCAAGAAUCUCAACUACAAAAGGAUUAAGAAAAUUUCCAUUGCAAACCUGAUAUAGAACCAAUUCCAACUUUAAUUUCAAGAGAUUAACACCAGAAUUCUUUUGUUCUUGUAAACUAUUAGUGGAUUCUCCAACUUCUCACACCUCAAGCAGAGGCAAUAUACCUCUUGUUUCAAUCCCAUUAGUUUAGAUUCUUCCCAUUUGCCCUAAAUUCAGUGAUAUUAGAUUGAAAUUCAGGCGCCAAAUUACACGCAGGCCCUUCCCUCAGAUUAGUUGCAGACUCUUUAGCUUUUCCCUGUGAUACCCUCAUCAUCUUCCAUCUUCUGACUCAUCAUUUCUUCAGUUUUAUGCAAUCCCAAACUUAAAUCUUAAAUUUUCUGAUUCUACAACUGCAUCUGUUCCACCAGAUUCUGCAGUCUGGGGUUCUCAGUAAUCAUGGCUUGCUUGAUCUUUCUUGUCAAUUUGAGUUCUGCUUCAAUUGGAUCUCUAGAUUGAAUUGCUAUGUUGCCAAAAUGUCAGAAAUUGGUUGCAUGAACAAUCACAUCCUGACUUGAUAGGAAUAACAAGAGAAGAAGAAGAAGGAGAAUAUUGGAGAACGAAGGAGAAGAAGCAGAACAGAGAAGAAGUAGAAGAAGAAGAAGCAGAAGUAGGAGAUAGAGAGAGAGAAGAGAGCUGAAUUGGUUGUAUUGUUGAUCAUCGAUGAAUGAAUGAAUGAACAAACAGAAGUUUCUUCCUUUGUACAAGGGUUCCCGCUGGCUCAAUUUAUCUCCAUAAAUGCCCUAACAACUUGUAACUAACUAUGCCAGCUCGCCAUAACUACUAACUGCUUCUAACUACUCAUUCUCACUUAGCUAACUCAGCUUGGCAUGACAAACUUUAGACUACAUGUGAACAUUUUUAUGAAAGAGGAAAAGAGGGGGAAAGCCUUAGAGAAUUUUACUUGGUAGUUAUGGGAGUUUCAAAUGCUUUUUUGGUGUAUGUUAAAAACAAGGCUAAUGGAUCUCCGCUUAUUGCCUUGAGCAAUAAAUUGCAUUAUAGAAAUUCUCUGUUUGAUCAAAGUAGCAAUGAUUAGUAGAACUAGAACCUGAAAUUUGCUGCUAUUCGCUUCUCUUAGCCCCAGAAUAUGGAAACAUUUUGAGUUCUAGGAAUCCGAAAUAGGGAUUUCUGGAUGUUCAACACGAUCUUUUUCAGUAUCUAAUGAUUCUCCUUCUGGGUGGAGAAUAAUAACGCAUUCAUUUAAGUUAUGCAUAUAUUUCUUUCCAACUUUUGAACUUGAGGGUGAUUGCCUUUUUUUUUUUUUUUUUUGCAGGUGAUCUGCUCAUAGUUGUAUCCAAUUUACCUUUAUAUUUUGGUAGAGGGGAAAAGUUCAUUUCAACGAUUUUAUUAAUAUACUUAUUGUGCUGCAUGUCGCUCAUGUAUUUUGUAGGAUGAGAAAGAUGUAAAGAUCCGGGAACUGACUGCUGAGCUACAACGAGAGCGCAAGCGGUCUGCAGCUUAUCAAGAACAGCUUUACAUGGUUUUGAGAGAAAUGGAGGAGCAUUCCAAUCACCUAUCAAGAAACAUUGAGGAUAUAGUGCAAAGUGUGAGAGAUAUUGAAUCAAAGAGGUAGGCAGUAUGUAUAGGUCUUAGCUUCAUUAGCUAUUUUGCUCCUGUACAUUUUCUUUGAGAUGCUAUUUGGUUGUUUCCUAAUUCUAGUCUGAACUUGUAGGUUGGCCAGAAUUAUCCUGUACAAAACUUUCAUGAAACUUUUGAUUUCUUAUCUCAUAAAAUUAGUGUGGCUUUUUCUAUUUUUACUUAUUUUCAAACCUAUCUUAAUCCGAUCUUGUACAGCUAGGUGGCUGGCACACUCUAGGUGUAUUUGGAUGGAAUGAUGGGAUAUGUUUUUAAAGUAUGAUAAGGGAACGUAAAGGAAGUAGAAACCUCCAAAAACCAUGCCCUCUUUAAAUAGCCACCGUUCCAAAUAAAGAAAUUAUUUUAAAAACCAUAUUUUACUUCUAAAAACUCUCUCCCAAACAUAGUGAUAUAGGGCAGAGUGCGUCAUAUAUUGCCCCUUGAUUCCGCAUGGGUUGGAUUUAACAAGUUUCUAUAUAUAUCUUAAGGUAAAAACGUUUUAAAUUAUUUAUUAAUUAAUUUUUUCGUUAAUUUUAUUAUUAAUUAUUUUAUUAUUUAGUUCUUGUAAUUUUAAAAUAUUUAUUAGUUUACAAAUUAAAUAUAUUUUAGACUUUUAUAAUAUUCGACUGCUAUAAUCAAUUGAGAAAUUAAUUAAUAGACUUUUUAAAAUAUCAGAAAUAUUUUAAUAUAAUUUUUAAAAUCGAGUAAUCAAUUAAUAAAAUUUUUUCAUACUAUAAGAAUUAAAUAGUAAUUUUUUAUAUUUUAAUUUUAUUUCUUAAAAUUAGGGUUGACAGGGAAUUCAAACCCUACACCCUGCUAAUGCAUAGUAAGUACAUAGUAAAUAAGUGUGUAUUACUUGUUUAACUCUGAGCUAUGGAAUAAUUUUAUUUUUGUAAUGUGGAAGUUAUAUAUCCCAUUUCAAUGGUAAGAAUUAAGUUAUUUGAAAAUGAAGGGAUAAAUAACAUAAAAUAAAAUUGGAGAAGAAAAUGAACUUUAAUAAAGAAAAACAAUGGUGUGAAUUAUGCAUUUAACUACAAAAAUAUUAGCUUUUAGCAUCUGAAGCUUCCUAUAAACUUCAAUAUGUUACAUGGUUAAUCGUAAAAGCAUUAAGGGUGUAGUGGUAAAAAAGUGUGCUUGUCAUGCUCUUUCUGAGUUGAUAUGUCAUAUGAAUACACUUUUUCUAUCUUAUAAUUUUUAUUUAUUUUAUUUUAAAAUUAAAAGUCACCAUAUAUUUUAUAAAAGAAUUUUCCCUUAAAUUUAAAUUGGCUUAAGAACUAUAAAGUUCACUUUAUCAAUAUCAAUAGUUUAAAUGUAUCAUGGACGCAUUCAAAGCUCAAUUAUAAUAAAGUUUAGGGAUUAAAUAUGUAUUUUGUCUAGUUACUCUAUUUAUUUAUUAUCUUUAUAAAUAAAUAAAAAAAUUAGUAUUUAAUUGAAUAUAAUUUUAUUUAAAAAUUAAUUUAUAAACUUCUCAAAUAACUAUUAAUACAAUUAUAUUUUAUAGAAUUUUUGAAAUAUAUGUCAUUUAAUUUUAAAUUCUGAGAAGUUGAUUAAUAAAGGACUUCUGUAUUUUUUUAUAAAUUAAUUAAUAUUUUAGCAAUAAAAGAAAAAAUAAAGUAGUAACAUAUAUCAAUCGGGUAAUUUUAAAAAUAACAAUAUUGAAAUUUUUAAAAUUUAAAUAUAAAAAUAUUUAACUUAGUUUGGUAUUAAGUGUAUCUGAAUAAAUUUAAGAGAUCUUAAAUUCUAUUCUCCAAUUUUCAGUUUCUAUUUCAAAAAAGAAAAUUUAUUUAUUUUGACCAAAUGUAGAAAAUUCUUAAUUAGAAGAAUUUAAAUCUUUAAGAUCUUAAUUAGAUUUAAUUUUAAAAUUUAAUUAUAUGAAUUUUAUUUUUAUUAUAAAUAUUUUUAAUUUAAAUUAAUUUUUUUAAAUAAAUAUUAAAAACCAAUUCAAUUGAAAUAAAAUAAAAAUUUUUUUAAAAAAUUUUCGAGGUGGUAGAGUUUUACCAAUAUUAUUUGAUAUAAGAUUUCUUAAGCUAGAAAUUUUAUGGGUCGAGUUUUCAGGGGACUCUCCAUAGCGAGUUAAUUGACACAGCCCAUACCAACCUUUGCAAAGCCCGUUGAUCAUUAUAGUAUACGUAUGAACAUCAGGCUGCAACCCUUCGACAGAAAUUCUAGAAAAUAAUUCCUUUGCAUCUUCAAGCCUCCCAGCUUUGGACAAACCAUCAAUUAUGAUACCGUAGACAAAACAGUUAGGAUUCAACUUGCUUUUUUGCAUUUCAUGAAAUAAGGUCAGUGCCACAUCAGGAUGCUUCUGUUUACAAAAGCCAUUUAACAAAAUUGAGUAAGAUAUCAUGUUUGGAGGAUGGCCACUGGCAUGUAAAUUCUUCAUAAGCUCACGCGCUGCCCAAGGGUUCCCAGCUUCGCACAAGCAACGUACAAGGGAAUUAUAAGCAACACUAUCAGGAGUUAAGCCUUUAAGAAGCAUUUCAUCAAGAAGCCGCUUUGCGUCAUAUACCAUUUUCUGCUUGCAGCAACAAUUAAUCAAGAUAGUGUAAGUAAAAACAUCAGGGGUACAAGUAAAAACAUCAUGGGUACAACCCUUGCUUACCAUUGUGUCAAAUACUUUUCUAGCUUGAUCAAUUUGGUUUUGCAGACAACAUCGAUCCAUCAACGAAUUGUAAGUGACAGCAUCAGGCUGUAUUCCUCUUUGAAUCAUUGUUUCAACCAUACCUUGAGCCUUUAGUGAGUUCUCCUUCCUCACAAAGUUGAUCAAUCUAUACAGUAAAGGUAAUUAUAUUUGGUGUGAUGUUCCUAUCAAGCAUUUCGUUAAGAACCACCGAGACUUCCUUUCAUCGGCCUGAAUUGCACAUCCCAUGAAUUAAAGCAGUGUACGUAACAACAUUAGGUGAAAUUCCCUGAGUCUUCAUUUCUGAGAAGAGGGCUAAUGCCUCAGUAACCAGGCCAACCUUGCAAAGGCUGUCGAUGACAGCACUAUAAGCCACAACAUUAGGCUUGCAACCUCUCUUGACCAUUUUCUUAAGCAAAGCAGAGGCCACACUGGUUUUUCCAAUUUUACACAGACCAUCCACAGUAACAGUAUAUGUAUAAACAUCAGGUUUAUACCCAUUAAUAACUAUCUCAUCAAACAAUUCCACUGCUUUAACAAUCUUACUCUCUCUACAGAGCCCAUCAAUUAAGGUAGUAAGCAUUAUAAUAUCAAUCUGAAAGCUGAAAGCCAAGUUUGAUGUUUUUCCCCAAAAGAGAGAAUCCAAAAUUCACAUGGCCCAAGUGGCAGAAGCAAUAAGUCAAAAUCUUAAUGGUACAAAUAUCAGGUAAAAUACCCAGAAAUUCCAUUUGUUUCCACAAAGAAAUCACUGUUUCAUAAUAUUUCAAUCUCACAAGUGCAGAUAACAAUUUGUUAAAUUCUGCAGUUGAAGGUAGAGGGUUCAUAUGAAUCAUCUGAUUAAAGGAAGCUAAGGCAUCAUCGAUUUUACCAAAUGAUGCGUUCUUGCUUUUAUCUCUCACAUUUCUACUACUAUGGCUGCUGGAACUGCAGGUGUGAAGAUUAGUAAUGGAAUCAAACAUACCCAUUAUCUAAUGAACCCGAAAACUAAUUAGUACUGGAGUAGAGGCGGCUAGUGGAAGGCGUCUGCGACUCCUUGCUAGCAUCCUCUUUCCUCUAUAGCUGCAUGGAGCGAAAGGCCUGAUCUUGAAUACGGGCGCAGGUUUUGCGAGGUAUUGGACCCUCGGUCAUGGCGAUGUGAACCAAAAAGGGAAUUUAGCUACUACUCUUUUCUGCUAGUAUGGUUGCAAGUGUAAGUCGAAGGAGUGUCGUUUUCACGAGAUAGAAAUUCAAUAGAAUAAAUUAUUUCUAUCUCACAAAAUAUGCAAUAAUUAAUAGAUAUGUCUCAUUAUCUUAAAAUUUAAUAAUUUAAUUCUUAUAUUUUAAUUAUAAAAUUGAAGAUUGCUGUCUGUUAUUUUCUAUUAAUUAUUUUUAAAAUGAGCUAAUGUCUUUAAAUAUACAAUAUUUUUAAUUACUGAAUUAUAUUUAACUUAAUACUUAUAUUUUUCAAAUUAAAAAUAAUUUAUUUCUUAUAAUUUACAUAGAGUUAAAUUAUAAGAAGUAAACUAUUAAAUUUCAAACAUAAAGUGACAUAUUUAUAAUUUUUAUUUACAUAAAGGAUCUAUUGUAACAUUACCACCUUCUCGAGUUUUUUUUUAAUAAUUUUUUUAUUUCAAAUAAAAAAUUUUAAUUUUUUUAAUUUAAAAAUAUUAUUUUAUCUUAAUUAUUAAAAUAGUUAAUUUUAUGGACAAGAAACUGCAGUCCAUCUGAGUCUAUGGAAUUUUUUUUUUUUUUCCAAUGCUUGGGAUUGAAACAAAAGAUUGUUUCUGAGAAAAUAGCCCACUUUUUUUUCAUUAAGAUAACCAAGCUAUGGAAAAUUAAGGUAAGUGCAAAGGCCUUUCUAAGACCAGACAAGAAAUCAUCCCUUGCAAGAAAUACCUUCCUGAAAUUAUAUUUUGAUAAAACAUUUGUUCUUCACAUGAUUCAAACACAAGUGCAAGAUUAGACAACAUUUGAACCUUCAUGGUUUUACAGAAUGAUUUGUCUUGAGCACUCCUUUAACUAGGCUUCCUUGAACAACAGUCAAAUAGCUUGUAGUAAAUUCAAUGACUAGCUCUUUAAAAUUGAAAGCAGAGCUAUGGUUGUAAGAAUAACAUGAUUCCAAGUAACUAUAUGUCCAAAUUAACAAAUAUUUUUGGUAAUAAACCAAAAACAUGACCGAGAUCAUUAGCAAAUUCAAAUACCUAUUAACAGAUAAUGCCACUGUUUAACUAAGAGAUAGAUCAAAGCCAAGGGAGCUACAACAUCUUGUAUAAAGAAAAGGAAUCAUCUUACUAACCUUGACGAGUAUGAAAAGAAUUGCAUAGUCCAAAAGAUUAGACUGAACUAAUUUUAAAUUAGCCUGCACCACAGUUUCCCUCUUUCCCUAAUCUAUAUGGAUCAAUAUGAAUCUCAUGAGAAUUGGAUCAAUUUUAGUUAAAAUCAGCUGACAUUGUAUCGAACACUACACAAGCAUAGCAAUGGCAUCUCCUACUAUACACAAGACAAU